GGGCUGUGGGGAAGGGACGGCAUGGCUCGUGAGACAUCCGAGAUGCGCUCUUCUGGACUGGCUGUGUUGAGGCAGGAAAUAGAAAUUUUAAAAAAGAAAUAAACAAGAGUGAGGCAAAUUGUUUGUUUCAAAUAGUAGCAGGCACUCAGCAAACAAGCAAGCCUAACUGAAUGCUUUGGCGAUUAUACAGACAAACAAAUCACUUUCCCAAAGUGCUUCUUGGGGGAAUUACGGCUCCUGGAAAUGAAACACAAACAGAUUAUUAAAAAAGAGCUCCCCGUUGGGAGAGAAACAGUAUUUACAAGAGAAGAUGUGCCUAGCUGGACCUCUAAUUGCCGUUCAUUAUCUCAUAUUGAUUUAAUUAGCUGCAGCACUCAGGUCUGAAUCGCCUGCUGCCCGCAGCAGGGGCCCGGCGGGGAGAGGAGGUUCACACUGACCACGCAGCCUCUCCCAUCGCUCACCCUGGCCUGCUUUCCCUGGAACACGGGUCAGCUCACGGGCCGUCCUUGUGGCAGCGAGGUGGUGGCCGUUGGCCGAAGGCGGCCCAGCCACAUCCGCUGCCUCAUGGGCAGCUCUGUCUCGCACACGCGUCCGCUGGGGUGGCAGCGCGAGCUAAUUAGCCGCAGUAAUUAGAGAGAGUGUCUUCAUAAUGCGGAAUUAGAGUGGCUUGGUGAAAGCAGGGAGAUAUAUGGCGCAGGCUGGCGGUGGUGAUGGAGGAGAAGCGAGCGGGGAGAGGACGAGGCUGCUCCCAGGUGUCCUUUGGCCUCCCGCUGUGACCCUUCCGCCCCUCCUCAGGGUCCCCACUCUGGUGUCAAGCGAUUCAGCCAUUUAUGGCCUCCCCAUCCCUCAGUGACCCAGAGACCUCCAACAGAGCAGAUAUUUCCAGACAGGAAGAACUGUGUCCGAGAGCAGCCUGGUGCCCUGGCUUCUGCAGAGAGCACAUGGAGGGGCCCUAAGAGUCUCUGUCUCCCGCUGUCCCCCCUCCUUGCCCCCGUCCAACACGUGAGAAAACAGCCGAGAUUCUGGAUUAAUUGCUCUCUUCAUUACUGGUUCAUCAUAUCCAACACCUGCUACGGAAAAGAGGGGCAAUUUAUUUUGGCUCCCACCUUCAGAGUCCUCAGUCUGUGUCCAGGAAGCAUUAACUCAGAAGCCGCACGGUGA
rnacentral:lncRNA from 1 species